rnacentral:rRNA from 1 species
UACGGAGGGUGCAAGCGUUAUCCGGAUUCACUGGGUUUAAAGGGUGCGUAGGUGGGUUGGUAAGUCAGUGGUGAAAUCUCCAGGCUUAACUUGGAAACUGCCAUUGAUACUAUCAAUCUUGAAUACCGUGGAGGUCAGCGGAAUAUGUCAUGUAGCGGUGAAAUGCUUAGAUAUGACAUAGAACACCAAUUGCGAAGGCAGCUGGCUACACGAAUAUUGACACUGGAUGCACGAAAGCGUGGGGAUCAAACAGGA